rnacentral:rRNA from 1 species
AGAGUUUGAUUCUGGCUCAGAACGAACGCUGGCAGCGUGGAUUAGGCAUGCAAGUCGAACGUGAAUCCGAUGAUCAAUCCUUCGGGAGAGUGAAUCGGUGGAAAGUGGCGAAAGGGUGAGUAACGCGUGGGUAAUCUACCUCGAAGCCGGGGAUAACUCCGCGAAAGCGGGGCUAAUACCGGAUGUGGUCAUCCGUCGCAUGGCGGACUGACUGAAGGUGGGGCUCCUUCGGGACCUGCCGCUUUGAGAGGGGCCCGCGUCCCAUCAGCUUGUUGGUAGGGUAACGGCCUACCAAGGCUUACGGGUAGCUGGUCUGAGAGGAUGGUCAGCCACACUGGGACUGAGACACUGCCCAGACUCCUACGGGAGGCUGCAGUCGAGGAUCAUUCACAAUGCGCGAAAGCGUGAUGAUGCGACGCUGCGUGGGGGAUGAAGGCCUUCGGGUUGUAAACCCCUGUCAUUCGGGAAAAAUAGUUCCGCCGCUAAUACCGGCGGGACAUGAUGGUACCGGAAGAGGAAGCCACGGCUAACUCUGUGCCAGCAGCCGCGGUAAUACAGAGGUGGCGAGCGUUGUUCGGAUUUACUGGGCGUAAAGGGUGCGUAGGUGGUCUUGUGUGUCGGAUGUGAAAUCCCGCCGCUCUACGGCGGAACUGCAUUCGAAACUGCAGGACUGGAGCACAGGAGGGGAGAGCGGAAUUCUCGGUGUAGCGGUGAAAUGUGUUGAUAUCGAGAAGAACACCGGUGGCGAAGGCGGCUCUCUGGAAUGUUGCUGACACUGAUGCACGAAAGCUGGGGGAGCAAACAGGAUUAGAUACCCUGGUAGUCCCAGCCGUAAACUGUGUGCACUUGGUGUGGGGGGUAUUGACCCCCCCCGUGCCGGAGCUAACGCGUUAAGUGCACCGCCUGGGGAGUACGGCCGCAAGGCUAAAACUCAAAGAAAUUGACGGGGGCCCGCACAAGCGGAGGAGCAUGUGGCUUAAUUCGAUGCAACGCGAAGAACCUUACCAGGGCUUGACAUGUAGCUGCACGCCUGCCGAAAGGCGGGAAGCCUUCGAGGGUGCUACACAGGUGCUGCAUGGCUGUCGUCAGUUCGUGCCGUGAGGUGUUGGGUUAAGUCCCGCAACGAACGCAACCCCUGUGUUUAGUUGCCACCGUGGGUGAUGAGCCCGCGAGCACUCUAAUCAGACUGCCCGUACAAGCGGGAGGAAGGUGGGGACGACGUCAAGUCAGUAUGGCCCUUACGCCCUGGGCUGCACACGUGCUACAAUGGCCGGUACAGAGGGAAGCAAUGCCGCGAGGUGGAGCAAAUCCCCAAAGCUGGCCCCAGUUCGGAUUGGAGUCUGCAACUCGACUCCAUGAAGUCGGAUUCGCUAGUAACGGCGCAUCAGCUACGGCGCCGUGAAUACGUUCCCGGGCCUUGUACACACCGCCCGUCACAUCAUGAAAGCCGUCUGCACCCGAAGUCGCUGGGCUAACCCGCAAGGGAGGCAGGUGCCGAAGGUGUGGGUGGUGAUUGGGAUGAAGUCGUAACAAGGUA